UCCCUUUUCUGUCCGACCUGAACCCUGGACUCUGCCUGGAGGAAUCCGUCCAGGAAGGAAGACCAUGAAGAACAGGCUCAGACACUGUAAGCGAGCUCCCCACCAGCACACAGCACGCAGCGUGGAGAAAGUCGGCACUGGGAGGACCCACCACCGGAUUCCCAUGUACGGAUGAGGAAAGAGACACUCGUGUUCCUGAACACUGGCCUGUGCUAGAAGACCUGCAUCAUGAGAACCCUGACUUUGCCCCCCAAGGACCACCAGGACCCCUGCAGGACCCUUCUUUCUCAAGAGAGGGACACAUGCACAGGCAUGAGGCCUGACUCCCCUCCCCCCACCCCCAAGCUGUGGAAAGACUUCCCAGAUGGGAGGUCAUUCUCUCCUGCCACCUAUUGGCAAAAUACGGUCCUGCAACUCAGCUCUGUUGGACACUAAGAAGGGUGCCCAACAGAAACAAAAGAACAGACUACAAUGUCCAGAGAGCGGGCAUGUGGGUGGAGGUGGAGAGAGAAUGUGCUAGAUUCUGGAAAAGGAAACAAUGGUUACUCCUAGUAAAAAUUAUACAUCCUAAUCA